UAGUGCUCCUGAGUUGUGCUGCUGACAGAAACAACGAGCUGAUAUGCUGUGAUGACUGGGUUGAAGAAGUACAAUAUUAAAACAAAAGCCAUGAGAUCAGUAACUCAAUUGUGUAAAGAUGGGCUCUGAGUUAUAACUCAAAGCCACAAAU
rfam:Cavia porcellus supercont2_8 genomic scaffold, whole genome shotgun sequence.